rnacentral:misc_RNA from 1 species
UUGGAGGGCAAGUCUGGUGCCAGCAGCCGCGGUAAUUCCAGCUCCAAUAGCGUAUAUUAAAGUUGUUGCAGUUAAAAAGCUCGUAGUUGAAUUUCGGGAUCAAUACGUCGGUCAUGCCUCUGGUAUGUACUGGUGUUAUUGGUUUCUCCUUUCUGAGGAGCCAUGAUGUCAUUAAUUUGGUGUCGUGGGGAAUCAGGACUGUUACUUUGAAAAAAUUAGAGUGUUUAAAGCAGGCACGCGCUUGAAUACAUUAGCAUGGAAUAAUGAAAUAGGACGUUCGAUUCUAUUUUGUUGGUUUCUAGGAUCAACGUAAUGAUUAAUAGGGAUAGUUGGG